rnacentral:tRNA from 1 species
GGGGUUGUGGCUCAGUGGUAGAGCACUUGCCUAGCCCAUAUGAGGCCCUGGGUUCAAUUCUCAGCACCG